GACGAACGCUUGCGGCGUGCCUAAUACAUGCAAGUAGGACGCAGUUGCGAACGGGUGAGUAACGCGUAGGUAACUACCUAUUAGAGGGGGAUAACUCUUGGCAACGAUAGCUAAUACCGCAUACUAGUAGAUGGACCUGCGUUGUAUUAGUUAGUAGGUAGGGUAAUGGCCUACCUAGGCAACGAUACAUAGACGACCGGAGAGGGGGAUCGGCAACACUGGGACUGAGACACGACCCAGACUCCUACGGGAGGCAGCAGUAGGGAAUCAUCGGCAAUGGGGGGAACCCUGAGCGAGCAACGCCGAGUGAGUGAAGAAGGUUUUCGGAUCGUAAAGCUCUGUUGUUAAGGAAGCGGUACUAAACAAGAAAGGGACGGCUAACUACGUGCCAGCAGCCGCGGUAAUUC
rnacentral:rRNA from 1 species